rnacentral:rRNA from 1 species
UACGGAGGAUCCAAGCGUUAUCCGGAUUUAUUGGGUUUAAAGGGUGCGUAGGCGGGCCUUUAAGUCAGCGGUGAAAUCUCCCGGCUCAACCGGGGAAUUGCCGUUGAAACUAUUGGUCUUGAGUGUAGAUGAGGUGGGCGGAAUUCGUAGUGUAGCGGUGAAAUGCUUAGAUAUUACGAAGAACUCCAAUUGCGUAGGCAGCUCACUAGGCUACAACUGACGCUGAGGCACGAAGGUGCGGGGAUCAAACAGG